GUCAGAGUGGCUUAGUGGUUUGAAUGUUGGACUGUGACUCUGGAGACCAGGGUUUGAUUCACCCCUUGGCCA